UACGUAGGGUGCAAGCGUUAUCCGGAAUUAUUGGGCGUAAAGAGCUCGUAGGCGGUUUUGUCGCGUCUGCUGUGAAAACUGGAGGCUCAACCUCCAGCCUGCAGUGGGUACGGGCAAACUAGAGUGCGGUAGGGGAGAUUGGAAUUCCUGGUGUAGCGGUGGAAUGCGCAGAUAUCAGGAGGAACACCAAUGGCGAAGGCAGCUCACUGGGGACGGUAUUGACGCUGAGACGCGAAAGCGUGGGGAGCAAACAGG
rnacentral:rRNA from 1 species